UAACGCGUGAGGAACCUGCCUUUCAGAGGGGGACAACAGUUGGAAACGACUGCUAAUACCGCAUAACGCAUGGGUAUCGCAUGGUAUCUGUGCCAAAGAUUUAUCGCUGAGAGAUGGCCUCGCGUCUGAUUAGCUAGUUGGUGAGGUAACGGCCCACCAAGGCGACGAUCAGUAGCCGGACUGAGAGGUUGGCCGGCCACAUUGGGACUGAGAUACGGCCCAGACUCCUACGGAAGGCAGCAG
rnacentral:rRNA from 1 species